GACGAACGCUGGCGGCGUGCCUAACACAUGCAAGUCGAACGGAAAGGCCCUGCUUUUGUGGGGUGCUCGAGUGGCGAACGGGUGAGUAACACGUGAGUAACCUGCCCUUGACUUUGGGAUAACUUCAGGAAACUGGGGCUACUACCGGAUAGGAGCUCCUGCUGCAUGGUGGGGGUUGGAAAGUUUCGGCGGUUGGGGAUGGACUCGCGGCUUAUCAGCUUGUUGGUGGGGUAGUGGCUUACCAAGGCUUUGACGGGUAGCCGGCCUGAGAGGGUGACCGGGCACAAGGGGACUGAGGGACGGAGCAGACGGGUACGGGAGGCAGCGGGGGGGAGUAUGGCACAGUGGUCCGGAGCCUGAGGCAGAAGCGCCGCGUGCGGGAUGACGGCUUUCUGGUUGUGAACAGCUGUCGCCUGAGACGAAGCGGGAGUGACGGUAAUGGGUAAAGAAGCACCGGCUAACUACGUG
rnacentral:rRNA from 1 species